rnacentral:lncRNA from 1 species
AAUCUAUUAAAAAAACUAAUAAAAAAAGAAACAAAAAAAAAGGAAAGAGAGAGGAGAGAGAGAGAGGAGAGAGAGUAAUUGUCCAAUAUGUGUGAGGGUAAAUUAGUAAAAUUAAUGUGAAGGGGUAUGUUGGUCAUUUCCUUUAUUUGUCCAGUCCGAUUGCUUGACAAAUGCACAUGGGACAAGACUGGACUACCACUUAUCCAGAAUUUUG